UACAGAGGGGGCAAGCGUUGUUCGGAAUUACUGGGCGUAAUGGGCGCGUAGGCGGCCUGUUAAGUCGAACGUGAAAUCCCCGGGCUCAACCCGGGAACUGCGUCCGAAACUGGCAGGCUUGAAUUCGGGAGAGGGAUGCGGAAUUCCAGGUGUAGCGGUGAAAUGCGUGGAUAUCUGGAGGAACAUCGGUGGCGAAGGCGGCAUCCUGGACCGAUAUUGACGCUGAGGCGCGAAAGCCAGGGGAGCAAACAGG
rnacentral:rRNA from 1 species